CCCCGCCCCGCCCCGCCCCGCAACUCCGGCCCUCCGCGGGCUGCUGCCUCCCGCGCCUGCGCAGACGCCAGGCCGCGUGGCCGCUGGGAUACCAGCGGUUCAAGUUUGAACCGGAUCGCUGCGUGUUUUGCCACCGUAAGUCUAGCGAAGAGAUUUUUUUUUUUUGGUGCGCAGAGAGUGUAUGGUUUCCAUUCGGUUUUCGGGAUGCGGUAUCAUAAAACCUUUUCUUCCGUUGGAGAAAUGUGAAGGUCCCGCAGGAGGCAGCGGGACGGCUGAGAAAAGCAGCUCUAGACCCGGCGCCCCGCAGCCGCCGGCACCCGCCACGGCUCAACCGCGCCCCCCCUCCCUCCUGUUGCUGCCGACACGGCCGCACUGGGCCCAGCCCACUGCGCGAGAAUGCAAUAAAACUUCCUAAACUCUCACGAGGCCUCGGCCUGGCUCCUUGCCGGCAGGGACCCCACAGUUUGGUGCUGGAACCCAGGAUGCACAGGAGCCCGUAGGGACCCCCACCCCCGGCUGCGGGCUCCUCCCGGCUCCUCCUGACCACACCGGCCGCUCCAGUUUGCGGUUGAAGUGAGCCCCUGCACCCCCAGCUCCACCAGUCCGUUUGUAUUGGAGUGUCAGCCUCGGACCAGCUCGCCUCAAGUUCACAAAAAUUCCCAAGGAACUUCCCUAACUAGGUAGGGACAGCUCUACGCCCCACCUGAGCAGGAAGAAGCUACAGAAGAAUGAGAUCAACCUCCCUCGUCAGCCCCAGUUCACAGAAGGAAAAUAAAAGGUUAGAAUGCUAGGCAUAUUCUGAAUCAUUCCCCUGCACUCAGUUCUUUUCCAUUAUACCCCACUUGGAUCUCCUGCUCUCUGCGGUUUUCCUGUUAUUCUUAUUUCAGGUGUCACAGAGAAAGCUGACCGGCUGAGAAAAUCGGCUUUAGACCUGACUUCCUGCACCUGCAUCUGGUUCCUGGGGACCUUCACAAGACACAGAUAUCCCACCCUCCCUACUCUUGCUUGCUGACACGGAUAUACUGGUCUCAGCCCACUGUGAGAGAAUGUAAUAAAAUUUCUUAAACUCUAA